CUGCCACGAUUCGUCUUGUCGUCCUCCCCGGCAUUCGCAUAGUUGGCCAUGAAAUCUGACCAAUUGCUAGCUACUCACACGCGUACUUACAACGACUAGUUUCCAGUGAGGAAGCACUCACUACAGUUGCUUGGGUUUGGGAUAUGCAGGUCAGGCUCGUGGGGUUGGUGAGUGACAAGGCGGGGAGGAACACGGAUCUGUCUCCCGCAUCGACUUCAUCAGACGGCAGGUAGGAGGUACAACGGCCAGCGACCGGGACGACACCAACAGCCAAAGGAAGCUUGAGGUCUGCUCCUUCUCCACCAGUAGAGAGGAGCCUCCUUUUUGGGUUCCGCGUGUCUGCUCCGAGCCUACCAGCGCCGAUGCCAUGGAAGGUACCCUCCACGUCUCUCAUCUCUCUGUUCGGUCACGUAUGGUUCUAUGCUGAUUCCUUUUUUCUUUCUCUCUCUCUCUCUCCGAUUUAAACGUGCUUAGAUCCUUGA